rnacentral:rRNA from 1 species
AUUGAACGCUGGCGGCAGGCCUAACACAUGCAAGUCGAGCGAGCGGCGGACGGGUGAGUAAUGUAUGGGGACUGCCCGAUAGAGGGGGAUAACUACUGGAAACGGGGGCUAAUACCGCAUAGCGUCGGAUAACCCAUAUGGGAUUAGCUAGUAGGUAAGGGAAUGGCUUACCUAGGCGACGAUCCCUAGCUGGUCUGGGAGGAUGAUCAGCCACACUGGGCCUUAGCCACGGCCCAGACUCCUACGGAGGCAGCAGUGGGGAAUAUUGCACAAUGGGCUCAAGCCUGAUGCAGCCAUGCCGCGUGUAUGAAGCAGGCCCUAGGGUUGUAAAGUACUUUCAGUCGGGAGGCGUUACCGACAGAAGAAGCACCGGCUAACUCCGUGCCAGCCGCCGCGGUAAUUC